rnacentral:snRNA from 1 species
GGAUGUGAGGGUGAUCUGUCUGUGAUACACGCCCCUCAGUGAUCACUGGCUGAGUGUCUCCUUCUUCCCUUACACGUUCACACGUGCCUAUCCUGAAACUCAGCACUCAGUUGAAGAGGAUGACCCUCCCUGGACAGAAAAGGACCCAGACUUCAAUCAAGGGCAUAUAAGUAGCUGUGCCCUCUACUAGGACUACCAGACAAGCUUUCAAGGUUCAAAUACACCACUGGCCUAAACAACCCUCUUUCCUACCCCGACCUCUCCACUGACAUUAGAGUCUGUGUGCCUCU